rnacentral:rRNA from 1 species
CUCAAGCGUUGUUCGGAUUCAUUGGGCGUAAAGGGUGCGUAGGCGGCGCGGUAAGUCGGGUGUGAAAUCUCGGAGCUUAACUCCGAAACUGCAUUCGAUACUGCCGUGCUUGAGGACUGGAGAGGAGACUGGAAUUUACGGUGUAGCGGUGAAAUGCGUAGAUAUCAGGAGGAACACCGGUGGCGAAGGCGACCACCUGGACUGAUACUGACACUGAGGUGCGAAAGCGUGGGGAGCAAACAGG